UAACACCAGCGCCACGAGUGGGGACCACGAUUAUUGGGCCUAAAGCGUCCGUAGCCGGCCUGUUAAAUCCUUUGUGAAAUCGUGAGGCUUAACCUUGCGGCUUGCAAGGGAGACUGGCAGACUAGGAACCGGGAGGGGCAAGAGGUAUUCCUUGGGUAGCGGUAAAAUGUUAUAAUCCAAGGAGGACCACCUGUGGCGAAGGCGUCUUGCUAGAACGGAUUCGACGGUGAGGGACGAAAGCCAGGGGAGCGAUCCGGAUUAGAUACCCGAGUAGUCCUGGCCGUAAACGCUGCGAGCAAGGUGUUACGCAAUCUCCGCGAUUGCGUAGUAUCGAAACGAAGGUGUUAAGCUCGCCGCCUGGGAAGUAUGGUCGCAAGGCUG
rnacentral:rRNA from 1 species